rnacentral:rRNA from 1 species
GGAAUUUUCCGCAAUGGGCGAAAGCCUGACGGAGCAACGCCGCGUGAGGGAUGAAGGCCUCUGGGCUGUAAACCUCUUUUAUCAAGGAAGAAGAUCUGACGGUACUUGAUGAAUAAGCCACGGCUAAUUCCGUGCCAGCAGCCGCGGUAAUACGGGAGUGGCAAGCGUUAUCCGGAAUUAUUGGGCGUAAGCGUCCGCAGGCGGUCUUUUAAGUCUGUCGUCAAAGCGUGGAGCUUAACUCCAUUUCUGCGAUGGAAACUGGGAGACUAGAGUGUGGUAGGGGCAGAGGGAAUUCCCGGUGUAGCGGUGAAAUGCGUAGAUAUCGGGAAGAACACCAGUGGCGAAGGCGCUCUGCUGGGCCAUAACUGACGCUCAUGGACGAAAGCCAGGGGAGCGAAAGGGAUUAGAUACCCCUGUAGUCCUGGCCGUAAACGAUGAACACUAGGUGUCGGGGGAAUCGACCCCCUCGGUGUCGUAGCCAACGCGUUAAGUGUUCCGCCUGGGGAGUACGCACGCAAGUGUGAAACUCAAAGGAAUUGACGG